UGAAGGAUUUUGUCAACAAGUUUUUUAGUGGUUUAAUUGUGUUUUCCCCAUACAUUAGUCUCAACAUCCAUGUUGUUGUCUACAAUUACUCCAGUCUUUCUAAUCUAACUGAUGAUCCCUCUGCAGCUCAAUGACAGCAUUCUCAGCUCGCUGGGAAUCAAACACGCGGUGUCCAGUGCUUACAUCCCCAGACCAAUGGCCAGGACGAAAGAACAAAUCAAAACAUCAAACGUACCCCCAGGAAGUAUGUAAAUGACAACCACAAUGAUUGGGACCUCCACCUUCCUGCUGUGGUGUAUGGAAUCAACACUGCAAACCAGACACCCACGUCUGGUGGUCAUGAAUGCCUGUCCCAUGAGAGAUGACUUUGACAUUGCUGACCCAGAAGAUGACACUGACACCUGUAAAGUUUGAUGUUAUUUCAUUCUUCAAUUAUUUAAUUGGGGUAACAAUUUGUGCCACAUAUUAAC